rnacentral:rRNA from 1 species
GGUUGAUCCUGCCAGUAGUCAUAUGCUUGUCUUAAAGAUUAAGCCAUGCAUGUCUAAGUGUAAAUGAACUAUACACAGUGAAACUGCGAAUGGCUCAAUAAAACAGUUAUAGUUUACUCGAUGAUGUCUUGUUACCUGGAUAACUGCAGUAAUUCUGGAGCUAAUACAUGCACAAAGCGGGGACCGGGGCAACCUGGGAGUCGCGUAUUUAUUAGAGCAAAGACCGUCUGCGGCUGGGGGGGCAACCUCCUGGACGCAUCUACGAACGGUGAACCAUGGUAACUUCACGGAU